GACGAACGCUGGCGGCGCGCUUAACACAUGCAAGUCGAACGGAAAGGCCUGCUUUCCCUUGUGGAUUGCGGGUACUCGAGUGGCGAACGGGUGAGUAACACGUGAGUGAUCUGCCCCCAACUUGGGUAUAAGCCUGGGAAACUGGGUCUAAUUCCCGAUAGGACUGCAGGGUGGUGCCUGUGGUGGAAAACGAUUUUCUAGUGGUUGGGGAUGAGCUCGCGGCCUAUCAGCUUGUUGGUGGGGUAAUGGCCUACCAAGGCGGCGACGGGUAGCCGGCCUGAGAGGGUGGACGGCCACAGUGGGACUGAGAUACGGCCCAGACUCCUACGGGAGGCAGCAGUGGGGAAUAUUGCACAAUGGGCGGAAGCCUGAUGCAGCGACGCCGCGUGGGGGAUGACGGCCUUCGGGUUGUAAACUCCUUUCGACCGCGAGGAAGCCACCUGGUUGGAAGGGUGGUGACGGUAGUGGUAGAAGAAGCACCGGCUAACUACGUG
rnacentral:rRNA from 1 species